UGCGCCCCAUAGUUUGACCUCUAGGCCCAGUGGUUGUCAGCAAUGGAGAUGCUCAUAGGUGGUGUUCGUGAGGAAGAUAGUUCAUCAGGAGGAAAGACAUGAAAGUCCGUUUCAGCUUCUGUUUUAUUGCGGAAGUUGCGGUGGAGUACCCUUGGACUGCAAUUUGACUGGUCUAAGCGUUACUACAAACUAUCUCUUCCACAUAACAAGAUCCCUGAUGAACUCUGUCAGCUGGCUAAGAAAAUGGCUGCUCCUGCAACGCCCAUGUGAGAAGAAUUUCAGCCAGAAGGUGCGAUAGUAAACUAUUUGACACCAG